GCAGGUUAAAUGAUGAAGCCAUAGUAAAAUAAUGCAGAUGGGAUAUUGUAAAUAAACAAACAAUAUUGGAGAAUGCAGGUUAAAUGAUGAAGCCAUAGUAAAAUAAUGCAGAUGGGAUAUUGUAAAUAAACAAACAAUAUUGGAGAAUGCAGGUUAAAUGAUGAAGCCAUAGUAAAAUAAUGCAGAUGGGAUAUUGUAAAUAAACAAACAAUAUUGGAGAAUGCAGGUUAAAUGAUGAAGCCAUAGUAAAAUAAUGCAGAUGGGAUAUUGUAAAUAAACAAACAAUAUUGGAGAAUGCAGGUUAAAUGAUGAAGCCAUAGUAAAAUAAUGCAGAUGGGAUAUUGUAAAUAAACAAACAAUAUUGGAGAAUGCAGGUUAAAUGAUGAAGCCAUAGUAAAAUAAUGCAGAUGGGAUAUUGUAAAUAAACAAACAAUAUUGGAGAAUGCAGGUUAAAUGAUGAAGCCAUAGUAAAAUAAUGCAGAUGGGAUAUUGUAAAUAAACACAAUAUUGGAGAAUGUAGGUUAAAUGAUGAAGCCAUAGUAAAAUAAUGCAGAUGGGAUAUUGUAAAUAAACAAACAAUAUUGGAGAAUGCAGGUUAAAUGAUGAAGCCAUAGUAAAAUAAUGCAGAUGGGAUAUUGUAAAUAAACACAAUAUUGGAGAAUGUAGGUUAAAUGAUGAAGCCAUAGUAAAAUAAAUGCUACAUUUUCAUCCAGUUGAUGAAAUUUUAUUUUCUCUUUUUUAUUUACAGAACAUUUGAACUAUCACUCAUUAAGCAUCAUAUAUUGUUUAAGGACAGUGGUUAUUAUUAUUUUAGUUUUGCUAAUAAGAAAAACGGGGGCAGGCUUUUACUCUUGGGGCAGGUGGGAUGAACUAGGAUUUAUUUUAUGGCCUUUGGCUGUUUUUACCUGAAUGCAUUAGAGGUGUUUGGUCGUUCUAGGCUGUUUUCACUUGUCUGUUUACGUGUAAGCGGAAUAGUUCAUCUAUCCAGUUAGCAAUCCAUAGUGGAUGGAAUAAAUACCAUUGCGGUAUGUAGCCUGUAUCACAUAAAACGGCUGUUAAGAGAAAACACUUUUCAGUAACAGCGUCCACAUAUAGCCACAUUCUUAUGUCCAGCCGUGCCACAGGAAAAAUGUUGAAUGUAGAAAUAUUAGAAUAAUUUGUACAAAUGAUAAGAGACAGCCAUGUUUAUUGAUGAUGCCAGUGAUAGCCGUCAUGGGGAUGAUCGGCUGCCAUGACAAUACUGACAUCCUGCUCAGAACAGACAUAACCGGCACAGUAUCUCUCACACUGAGCACUAUGGUUUUAUUCAUAUAUAGAAAGGUUCUCUCUCUGCUAAAAAUAAUGCAGUGAAGCUUUAUGCAAGUAUUUGUAUUUGUACUGCAUUCCACUUUAUUCAUGCUGUGUUCAUCAAAAAGCAGCUUAACUCUCUUUAAUUUCAUUAAGUUUCUGAUGCAGGAACUGAAAUGCAAGAAUCUACAUUGAUAUCAGUUAAUAAACUGACUUUGGUGUGUUGCAUAAACUAAAUUUAACAAUGUAAAAUUAUGUUUAUUUAGGUGUAGUGUAAUUGGUUUCCAUUUUUGAAUUUAAUUUUUGCUUUUAUUUUUAAAUGGGUAUUACAUCACUGGAUUUAUGAUUUACGGAUAAAAUUACUUGUCAAAA